rnacentral:rRNA from 1 species
AACAAACGCUGGCGGCGUGCCUAACACAUGCAAGUCGUACGAGAAAGGGUCCUUCGGGACCUGAGUAAAGUGGCGCACGGGUGAGUAACGCGUGGAUAAUCUGCCCUUCAGUUGGGAAUAACCCAUCGAAAGGUGGGCUAAUACCGAAUAACGCUGUGAGACUUUGGUCGAUCAGCCAAAGAGAGCCUCUGCUUGCACGCACUCGCUGAAGGAUGAGUCCGCGUACCAUUAGCUAGUUGGUAGGGUAAUGGCCUACCAAGGCGACGAUGGUUAGCUGGUCUGAGAGGAUGAUCAGCCACACUGGAACUGAGACACGGUCCAGACUCCUACGGGAGGCAGCAGUGAGGAAUCUUGCGCAAUGGGGGCAACCCUGACGCAGCAACGCCGCGUGAGUGAGGAAGGUCUUCGGAUCGUAAAGCUCUGUCGGAUGGAAAGAACCGCAUGGGGGUAAAUAGCCCCCGUGUCUGACGGUACCAUCAAAGGAAGCACCGGCUAACUCCGUGCCAGCCGCCGCUGUAAGAC